rnacentral:lncRNA from 1 species
AGUUCUUCUAGGGGCAGCAGAGCUUCUUCAACCCCACUGCAAGUUGACUGACACCCUUCAAUACUCUCUUGACCCUACAGAUAAUGCUCAUCAAUUCCUCUAUGCCACAGAACUGUAACACUUAGAAGACUCUGUGGAAUACGAACACUUCUCUGAUUUAUCCUCAUGAAAUUGUUUUCCUGAUGAAAGGAGUGUUCUUCAGAAGAAUACAGAAUGGAU